rnacentral:rRNA from 1 species
UAGGGAAUCUUCGGCAAUGGACGAAAGUCUGACCGAGCAACGCCGCGUGAGUGAAGAAGGUUUUCGGAUCGUAAAACUCUGUUGUUAGAGAAGAACAAGGACGUUAGUAACUGAACGUCCCCUGACGGUAUCUAACCAGAAAGCCACGGCUAACUACGUGCCAGCAGCCGCGGUAAUACGUAGGUGGCAAGCGUUGUCCGGAUUUAUUGGGCGUAAAGCGAGCGCAGGCGGUUUCUUAAGUCUGAUGUGAAAGCCCCCGGCUCAACCGGGGAGGGUCAUUGGAAACUGGGAGACUUGAGUGCAGAAGAGGAGAGUGGAAUUCCAUGUGUAGCGGUGAAAUGCGUAGAUAUAUGGAGGAUCACCAGUGGCGAAGGCGGCUCUCUGGUCUGUAGCUGGCGCUGAGGCUAGAAAGCGUGGGGAGCAAACAGG